UACGAAGGGGGCUAGCGUUGCUCGGAAUGACUGGGCGUAAAGGGCGCGUAGGCGGAUGGCUUUGUCGGGCGUGAAAUUCCAGGGCUUAACCUUGGGGCUGCGUUCGAGACGGGUUGUCUUGAGUGGGGAAGAGGGUCGUGGAAUUCCCAGUGUAGAGGUGAAAUUCGUAGAUAUUGGGAAGAACACCGGUGGCGAAGGCGGCGACCUGGUCCUUUACUGACGCUGAGGAGCGAAAGCAUGGGGAGCGAACAGG
rnacentral:rRNA from 1 species